CGGACGGGUGAGGAACACGUACGCGACCUGCCCACCGGUGGGGAAUAACCCUUCGAAAGGGGGGCUAAUGCCGCAUACGGUUGACUGGGUAGAGCCGGUCAAGGAAAGCCCGAGAGGGCGCUGGUGGAGGGGCGUGCGGCCGAUUAGCUAGUUGGUGGGGUAAUGGCCUACCAAGGCAUCGAUCGGUAGCUGGUCUGAGAGGAUGGUCAGCCACACUGGGACUGAGAUACGGCCCAG
rnacentral:rRNA from 1 species